rnacentral:rRNA from 1 species
AGAGUUUGAUCAUGGCUCAGGACGAACGCUGGCGGCGUGCUUAACACAUGCAAGUCGAGCGGUAAGGCCCCUUCGGGGGUACACGAGCGGCGAACGGGUGAGUAACACGUGAGCAAUCUGCCCAUCACAUCGGGAUAACUCCGGGAAACCGAAGCUAAUACCGAAUACGACCACUUCAGGCAUCUGACGGUGGUGGAAAGUUCCGGCGGUGAUGGAUGAGCUCGCGGCCUAUCAGCUUGUUGGUGGGGUAAUGGCCCACCAAGGCUUCGACGGGUAGCCGGCCUGAGAGGGUUAUCCCCCACACUGGUACUGAGACACGGACCAGACUCCUACGGGAGGCAGCAGUGAGGAAUAUUGCGCAAUGGAGGCAACUCUGACGCAGCCAUGCCGCGUGCAGGAAGAAGGCGCUACGCGUUGUAAACUGCUUUUAUCAGGGAAGAAACCCUAGGACGUGUCCUGGGUUGACGGUACCUGAGGAAUAAGCACCGGCUAACUUCGUGCCAGCCGCCGCGGUAAUUC